rnacentral:lncRNA from 1 species
GUUCAAAAGGUGCUUUCAUGACUUGAUCCAAACCCAGAAAUAGGUUCUUAAGGUGCUUUUAAAAGACUUGAUUUCAAACUAAAAAACAAGGUUCCCAAGGUGCUUUCAAAGACUUGUUCUCAACCCAGAAACAUGGUUCUUAAGGUGCUUUCAAAGACUUGUUCUCAAAAAAAGGUUUGAAAGGUGCUUUCAAAGACUUGUUCUCAACCCAGAAACAUGGUUCAGAAGGUGCCUUCAAAGACUUGUUCUUAGAGUAAAGGGUUUAAAAAAGGUGCUUUCAAAAGACUUGUUCUUAAACUCAAAAACAUGGUUCAGAAGGUGCUUUCCAAGGUAUGAUUUCAAGACAAAAAAGAAAAUUCUAAAAAGGUGCUUUUCAAAAAUUUGAUCUCAAACCAAAAAAGGCUUGAAAGGUGCUUUAAAAAUCUUUAUCUCAAACAAAUGCAAGGUCCAAAAGGUGCUUUCAAAAUCUUUAUCUCAAACCAAAAACAAGGUUCUAAUAAGGUGCUUUUAAAAGAUGUGAUCUCAAACCCAGAAACAUGGUUCCAAAAGUGCUUUCAAAGACUUGUUCUCAAACAAAAAAAUGGUUCAAAAGGUGCUUUCAAAAUCUUAAUCUCAAACCAAAAAAGGCUUGAAAGGUGCUUUCAAAAUCUUGAUCUCAAACCAAAUGCAAGGUCCAAAAGGUGCUUUAAAAAACUUGAGCUCAAACCAAAAACAAGGUUCUAAUAAGGUGCUUUAAAAGAUGUGAUCUCAAACCCAGAAACAUGGUUCCAAAGGUGCAUUCAAAGACUUGUACCCACACAAAAGGGUUUAAAGGGUGCUUUCAAAGACUUGUUCUCAAACCAAUAACAUGGUUCACAAGGUGCUUUUCAAGGUAUGAUUUCAUACAAAAAAAAGGUUCUUAAAAAGGUGCUUUGAAAAUCUUGAUCUCAAACCAAAAUAGGUUCAAAAGGUGCUUUAAAAAUCUUGAUCUCAAACCAAAUUCAAGGUUCUUAAAAAGGUGCUUUGAAAGACUUGAUCUCAAACCCAGAAACAAGGUUCUAAAGGUGCUUUCAAAGACUUGUUCUCAAAAAAAGGCUUCAAAAAAAGGUGCAUUCAAAGACUUGUACCCACACAAAAGGGUUUAAAGGGUGCUUUCAAAGACUUGUUCUCAAACCAAUAACAUGGUUCACAAGGUGCUUUUCAAGGUAUGAUUUCAUACAAAAAAAAGGUUCUUAAAAAGGUGCUUUGAAAAUCUUGAUCUCAAACCAAAAUAGGUUCAAAAGGUGCUUUAAAAAUCUUGAUCUCAAACCAAAUUCAAGGUUCUUAAAAAGGUGCUUUGAAAGACUUGAUCUCAAACCCAGAAA